rnacentral:rRNA from 1 species
AUGCUGGUACCAGCACCAUACCAGAUGCCGGUGAAAGAGGACAAUAAGGAGAGCGAGGGAGCCAAAGGUAGCCUCCAUUCUGAAGGUACACCAAACACUAUGUCCGGAGAGAUUAAGGCUCCCUCUUCCGAAGACAAAAGAGAAGGAGGAGCUGACAUCCUUUCUCCCCAUGGUAAGAAAAGGGCUGCCUCCGAAGAUUGGGAGGUAAAGGCUCCUAAGCGAGGCAAGACGCCCCUGUCAGGCGGUUCGGCUCGGAAGGCGACAUUGUCGCACAGUUCCUCCAUAAGGACAAGCCUUCAGCCAAAUCGUAAGCGAACAAAGGUGUUUUAA